rnacentral:lncRNA from 1 species
UGACCAGUCUCGCGAUGUACCAACCGCCAGUGUGACUGACUCGGUCUCACGGAACGCACAACCUUGCGCGUAACAGGAAAAAACCUUAAAAAAAUUAUAAUAAUAAUAAAAAAAAAAGUGAACUCGAUGCGUUUCGCGCUUUUUUUAAUCUGUGAUGACAUCAUAGUGUAGGAUUUUUUGUUUUAAAUAUUUAAUAUACCUAGAUAAUAUAAUAAAGUGAUUAACUUCGUUUGCCAUAGUGUUAUAUGUAGUGUUUUUUUUUUAUUGUGUUUCGGAUUUAAUGCUUGUGUUAAAUUGAAAAGUAUUUAGGUCAAUUUAAAAUGUACAAAUCACUAGCAAUACUAGUACUGUUAUCCGCUGUCUAUGGUCAAGAUACAGGAGGCGGUGACCUCGAGUCAGUCCUCCAGCAGAUCUUCGGCAAGCCAGGAGACAAUGCUGGCCAGGUCGGCACCGUGGCGCCUGUACCCAGGCCGUCCCCGACGCCAUCUCUCGGCGACAAGAAGGGGGAGUCAUCGACACUGGUGCCUGGGGUAGUUUCUGGAAA